GCCAGGUGUGGCGGCGCACACCUGUAAUCCCAGCUACUCGGGAGGCUGAGGCAGGAGAAUUGCUUGAACCAGGGAGGCAGAGGUUGCAGUGAGCCCAGAUUGUGCCACUGCACUCCAGCCUGGGCAACAGAGCGAGACUUUGUCUCAA
rnacentral:SRP_RNA from 1 species